UAAGUGGCUAUCCGGGAUGAGAUCUCCAGCAUCCGAUCAAGCUCUCUCUCUCUAUCUCUCUCUUUCUCUCUCUCUCUCUCUCUCUCUCUCUCUCUUUCUCUCUAUUUCUUUCCGUGAGGUUUUUCAGCGGGGUAAGGUAAGAGAAAACGACGGCGUUCGAGACUAUCGGGUGCUUACGCUCUUUUUGGCUAACAAAGGGUCGUUAAAAAUCCGUUAGAUAUGGCUGUCAGAUAGGCAAGGCACCAGCAGUGCGGUUACCAAGAGAGAAGUUCUCAAGUUGAGCUCUUUGUACGUGAUUUGAAUGCGAUUGGAUGGAUGGUGGUAGUGCAAGAAAGAGGAUGACGGUAGAGAAGGGAGAGUGAGAGAACGAGCGAAAGGGAGAGAGAAAGAGAAAGAGAGAGAGAGAGAGAGAGAGAGAGAGAGAGAGAGACGAGACGAGAGGAACUGGGCGAGCGCUAAUCUCCGAUCAGUGUCGAGAGCGUAACGCGAUCCGACGCGACGUGAUGUGAUCCAGGCUCGAUAGCACGGGAAUACGACCCUACAGCAGCGUGCGCAUGGCUAUCGAGAAGGGUAAAGCUGUCAAGGGUUUACAAACCAUAGUACAUUAAGUUCGACGUGAAAGGGUCUAUCUGUGGUAUCCACCUAAAUUGAACUUCUCGUUGAAUCGCGGUGAACUCGCGCGCGAGUCUUGUUAAAAUCAUUAAUCGAUGAGACGUUGAAUUGUCCUAAAACGAAAGAAAAGAAGAAGAAGAAGAAGAGCGUAUACUAUUUUCUUUUUAAUAAAUGAUUUCAUUCGAUAUUUAACUUGAGAUACUUUGACCUAAACACUCUGAAAAAUUAUCGAAAUACAAUAAUGGAACUCAAAGUUGGUACUCAACGAAGCGUCAGAAAGAGUGACGCAUAUUGCGAAACAUUAAAUUUUCUCCCUGGGGCUACACGAUUCUUCGAGAGCAUCGCGUUUCAAAGUAGCUCGAGUAGACAAAUCGAAAAUAACGAUGCUUCUUUCAUAGCGGCCAACAAAAGACGUAAGUCUCUAAAUGGAAGGUGCACCCUGCUUUUCAUGCUCGUUUGAUUUGGAAAUAUCUAUUCUCCUUAUACGAUGGUGAGGUAAAGAGAGUAAGAGAGAGAGAGAGAGAGAGAGAGAGAGAGAGAGAAAGAGAGAGAGAGAGAGAGAGAGAGAGGCCGACACUCGACACGAAGAGGCAGUGGUCGUACGCUCGCUUGCGGGCGCGCGCACGUUUUACGAGGCGACCGUCAAGAGUCGCUCUCGCCAUCCUUGCGUGCAGCCAAGCGCUUGUAAUACAAACUCCAGUGUAGUAUGUAGUACCCACACGAUGCUGUCACAAGUGCUCGCACGUCAUUGUGAUAUUGUGAGUGCUCACAGGAGUGUGAGGAACCAGUUGUCGAGAGCAACAGCUGCUAGACCCGUAACCCAUAUACAUCACCGCAUGUCAUUGUUCGCCGUGUGCAUUAUUCGAAACAGGUAUGGGUACGCACCUUGGCAUUACGUCACCGGGGGACAGUAAACGAGGUAAUGGGCAUACGUUACCGUAACUAAGGAAUGGAAGCGCGGAGUUGCUCAAUUGGACACGGUAAUGCUGACACCAUUUCGCGAUUGACCUUUUCCUCCUUAGUGACUCGAAGCGAGUCUCUGGCGAAAGUAGAAAAGUUCGUAUUUAUUUUUUUUCACCUAUUCUUCGCUAUUCUAUCGCGAUGAUAUUCACUUUUCCUGAACGAACCGGUCUCCAUUAUUCUGUCGUUUGGUCAGAUGUAAAAGAUUGUACUAAUUUCUUCGAUUCGGUAUACACAUCUGGAUGAGAUGCUCGUUAAGUAGAUAUACUAUGUUAAGUAUACUUGGUAUUCAAGAGCCCACAUCUUCUUUGGCGUGAAAUAUCACCUCGGAGUAGCGUUUAAUCGACCGGUUUCACGGGCUAAUUGUUUCCUCUGGACCGUUUUUGCGCGUCGCGCGGAGAUGGGUAAUUAAUUAUUUACUGUACGUCUUCGCAUUGGCGACGAGCGAGAGAAAGAAAGAGAGAGAGAGAGAGAGAGAAAAAGAGAGAGAGAGAGAAAGACAAAUAAAAGGAGAAAGGGAGGAGUGAAAAAUAUCGGAUGAACGGUUCGUUAGGCAAAUGCCAAGUUUUUAUGAGAGAAGCGUUCAAUCGACGCGCUGAGAAGAUGGCAAGUAUAUUUGUAAAAUAUAAAAUAACAGUUCCUGUCAAAAAUGACGACAUUGACUGGCUGUCGCCAUGACGUAAGAUAAAAUGUGUUUCCAUUUCUUCGCACGCUGCCAACGACUAUAACGACUACGAUGACGAUGCCGGCGGCAGUAGCCGAGUACCGUCGUUGCUCGUGCAAUUUCAAUAUGAAAUUGUGAAUAAUGCAUGGCGGGGGAUCUCUCGAGCCGGUACGACGUCGUCACGCAGCUCACAUCCUCCCAGCGAUGUAAAACUGAGAUAGAUGGAACGCGGUAAGUUUGAAUAAUGAGCGGGGAGCCGUAACGAUGAUACGCGCGGGCUACUCCCGCGCAUCGCAUAGCGUCCUCUUUCGCUUUCUCACUCCUUCUCUCUCUCUCUCUUGCCUCUUGCCUUUUGCCUCUUGCAGAGAGGGAGAGAGAGAGAGAGAGAGAGAGAGAGAGAAAGAGAGAGAGAAAGAGAGUACUGACUCGUUUCGCGCUGGAAAAUCCAAGGUAGGGUCGUUAUAUAAGUCAGUCUAGCCCGACUCAUUAACUAGUCCACCAAAAGCCAUUUAUCAUUCGAGAAUCCUGCCGGGGUUGUACGGACCAACUACGAUACGUUAUAGCUACCACUUUGCGUAUUGUGCAAAAACGAGCUUUGAAAAUAUACGUUUUGCCGUUCUUAACCACUCGAUUUGUGAAGGCGCGAGCGUGCAUGUUCGUCUGCGAAAGAUUCGAGAAGCCAACCAACCGUCCAGCUAUUGAAACUCGGUGCUUUUCUUGAUUCGGUCUACCUUAUCUGUAUGUAAAUACUUGUAGCGCCGUCAUGUUUGGAUUUUAACAACUAAUAAAAUCGUAUAAGAUUCUUUUACGAUGGGCUUCUAUCUUAACGUGCAUUAAAUUUGUUACAAGGACGUUCUAAUAAAAUCACGAAAUAGCACAAGGAACGUGAUAUUCUACUUCUCAGUGAGAAAUUAAUAAGUCCAAAAUAAAACGUUUUAAAAGAAGAAAAAGAAAAAGAAGAGGGAGAGAGAAAGAGAGAGAGAGAGAGAGAGAGAGAGAAAAUGGUGUCCUGAAGUCCCGAAUGUGGUGUUUGUAAUGUCGAGAACUUGCCAAGGUGUAGGAAGCCGUUCGAUGAACGAAGCAAGUUGAAAUGAGAGAAGGGGAACACACAAUGGGUUCGCGCCUUCCUAAUCCUACGGAAUCUCUGAGCCAUAUGUAAGGAUUACGUUGGUCUGACUCAACAUGGUCGCGUUGUCGUGUUAAAGCCGCGGACCAACCAUUAGCCAGUGGCGCUUCACGAGCUGUUCGGUCCACACGAGCUUAGAGACGCUAUCAGCAAUGGCUUAGUUGGCCUUCUUUCUAUCUUAUCCUGUGAUCCGAGUCUAGGUGGAUGCCCAUCUCUCUCUCUUUCUGUCUGUCUCUCUCUCUCUCUCUCUCUCUCUCUCUCUCUCUCUCUCUCUCUCCCCUCUAGUUGCGACGCAUACGCUCCUUCUCGCCACAGUCAAGAGGUGUUACGAGCCGAUAGUUAUCUUCAUAUCGCGAACCCGAAGGCGAUUGGACGCAUUCUGUCUCAGACGGGGGGGCCAAGAUGCUGAGAUCUAAGGUAAGCAGGUAACAGAGUUCGUGAGUGGGAUACUAGCUCGUAAAGUAAAGUGGGUAUCUACGUAACCAAGAUACGUUCCAUCUAAUGUAAAUGUAAAGCCAUUGCGAUAAAAUGAAAAAUGUUUCCUUUCCUACGAUCAAAUCACGUUUAAUGUUCUUCUAUCAGAUAUGAAUGAUUUUGUGUCAAUAAUGGGAAUUACAACAUCGUGUUUUGUUCGUUCGUCAUUGAAAGAUUAAAAGAAAUCGAUCGAUUGAGUCUUCAGUGGUUUUGAUAUUAAGUUAGCUACGUGAUGAAGGAAGAACGUUUGAUGGAAGAAAGGAACGCAAAGAGGUCACGUCCUUAAACCUAUAAUCACUCAAUCCUGUACGACGGCCAUAAUAGAUGCCUUUCCAGUAAGCUACGAUCUAUCAUCGACUUCGCGACCGUAGACUCGGCUGUCUUGAUCGCUGAAGGACAGUUUGGCAGUGGUUCCAAAUGCGGAUAACCGUGGAGAUCCGGAGCGUCAGAAAGCAGAGGAGCCAUUGCGGCGCAGAAGCACUUUUUUCGAAGGGCGUUGGAGUAUAUGGCGGACGUCGUCUCGGGAAAAGAGGGCGCCAGUUGGCGAUGAGAGAGGGAAAAAGAGAGAGAGGAAGAGAGAAGGAGAUAGAAGGCGCGAGUACAUCGGCCACCGACGUAAUAUCGGCAAACGACGCUACAUGCCGGCCAAAUAUAACGGUAUAACUUUGCCAAAUGAUACCAUUCCUUUAAUUCUUUGGAACGACCUGUCCGGACGUUUUCCCGACGAUAUAUUAAUAACGUCAACUUCGCUCGCCGUUACCUUAUUAUACUUCCUUUCAAAUUAUCUUUAGCGAAUAAAAUGUAAUCAUUGUUGUUUUAUUCGAUCAUUGUAAAAAUUCGAUUAGAGUUUUGUCUUAUUUCGUGAAUGAUCAUAAGUGGUGUAUUAUUUCAGAACAAGAAAAAAGUUUUGGUAACAGAGUGAACAGUUUUCUUCAAUACUUAACGAAUUCAUUUCUCCUUUUAUUUUAACAGACUGCUAACAAGUAUUCUCGUUUUCAUCGAGAUAUAUUGACGUUAGUUUAUUGGAGGAUUUAUUUAAGCGUGCAGCGAUAUACCAUCGAGAAAACGCCAUUCAGAUAAAAUCGCUCGAUAUUGCUUCCUUACGUUGGAAUUUCUUCGACUUUCGAAUUGGAUCGAGUUAGAUAAGCAGAAAGCGGCUGAUCGAUGCCAGCGGAAUAAAACGAAUACAGGACUGGUUCCACGAAACUGAUCGCCACUCAUCAGGGAAAUGAUCCUCGAGCCAAAGCUCUUGGCUUUUGUCCAUAAUGGACAGAUGUCCUGUCAUGUUGCCCGGCUUUUUAUCGAGAAAACGGGGAAAGACUAUUCUCGAAAUGUUAUAUUCACCCAAAUGUUUCUUGGAAACUGUCUUAUUAUUAUUGCUUUUUAAGCCAAGGAUCAUUAUUUACGACAUGCUUGUCCAUUUGCAUGUAAUAUAUUUUUUCUUAUUAUGUUACCGUCCAACCAUAGACGGUAAGAUAGUUUUAAAUUCGACAUUUCGAAAAUCCACAGUAGGUUAAAAGAACGAGAACUCAUAUUUCCUUCGCGAUAACACGAAAUGACGACUUUGGAUCGUGCCGAUCGCAACGUUGCAAAAAUAUCUCCAGGGCAUGAUUCCGCGUGAUGCGGUGUCGUUCACAUAUCAACGGCCUUUAUCGAUCACGCUUAUCGCUAUGAUUCCCGAGAGUCGAAAGUUUUUCGAUUUUCUACCGUUGCCGGCCGUAAAAGACAUCACUUUCACCUUCAAAUCCUCUUUUUUUUUCUUCUCGUGUAAAACGAUCCGACUUCUUCCAGAGAAUAAGUUCGAUCGUGAAGGGUGAUUUUAUAGGUCUAUGAGUUUAAAUGUUCGUAAGGGUUUGGAAAGCGGGAAGCGUUACUAUUUAUUUGAAAUAUGAAGGGACCAGAAGCUAUAGCGUUUAUUUGCCUUACGACCGAAAGAAAUCCCAAAAGCGUUGGAUCGACUGUUGGGUUAACAGCUUCUCUAUCUCAUUCUCUCUCGUCUUUCUAAAGCUAGAAUAUCUGCUUGAAGUUCAAGCAUAUGACGGUAGUCGGCAUAAACGACAGCGACAAUUCUGGCCUAAGAAUAGUCCAUGUAUGUGCGAAGUGGACCGAUAGGCAGGUGUUAUAUGCUCGGUAAGAAGGAAGCGCUUGAUGUGAAUAUUAAGAUGUUCAUUAGCACGAAGUACGCUUUCACAGUGUAAGACAUGUUAAGUAGUACUACGUGCGGUUAAAGAAGAGGGAGAGAGAGAGAGAAAGAAAAGAUGUGGUAGACUAAGCGAAGCUGAGUGUGAAAGAUAGAAAGAGAAAAAGAGAAGGAUGAAAAGAGAAGGAAAGAGAGGAGGGUGAAGAGAUCUCAUAGAGGGAGUAGUACCAUUGACGGGUGAUGAAGGGUCAUCCCCUGCGGUGGUCUUUGUUAUAUCCAUGACGGUCGGCAUGACUAUUUGCUCGAUACAAGGUACCACCAACGAACGUUGGCAUAUCACCAACGGCCUUCCAGCGUCGGCAUCGUCGAAAGAGAAAAAGGGAGAGAGAGACGAAAAUACAUAAUAAUCGAGCUCCUGACGGACCUCUCAAUAAUAUGAACUGAGUUUCUCUUGUCCUUCCUCUUCUUUCGCCAUACCUUUGUUCCUAUAUGUCUCGCCUCUUUCGUUCUUCUUUAUCACCUCUCUUUUGUUUCACUGUGUUUAUAUUUACUUUCAUGUACACGAUUCUUUAUCUUUUUCAUUUUCACUCGUGUAUAUCCUUCUCUUUUCUUUUCUUCAUCUUCCUUUCUCUAUGCCUCCGUCUCUCUCGUGUCCGUUUGACUACGUACCGCCUUGGAGGCAUCAUUAGCCAGCAUUGUGUCCGCAACACGCAUACGCACUCGAGGUAAGAGUUACCAUGACACCCGCUGCGCCUGUGAGAUUUGCGAUAGAGUUAAUGAUGCUGGGACCGCGGCGAUUUAACAAUAAGCCGCAUUAUUUACAGUCAGCUCUCGACUCCAUUACCACCGGUUGUCCGCCUCACCUGGUCCUCGUUUCUUCUUCCUUUCUCUCUCUUUCCCUCUCUUUAUUUCUCUCUUUCUCUCUCUUUCUCUUUCUCUCUCUCGCUUGCUGUUGCUUCGGCGUUCCUUGCCUUCUGCAAGUUUCUUUCUCUCUCUUUCUUGCUCAAAUAAAUUCUCACGUCUCUCGCAACGGCUUACAUCAUUUCCUAGCAAAUGUUCUAGGGGUCCACAUUAAAGCUUUAUAGUCGGUUGUUGAUGCGUACAAACUUGUUUAUGCGGUGACCCACAUACAUUAUACAUGUAUGAAUAUAUCUCACAUGUGGUUAGAUGGCACAGUCGUGAAAAUUGUAAGAAAACGAGAUAUUUCUCACGUAGACGAUGUAAAUGGGAUAGCUAGAUGUCGGUUAAUUUAGCGAAUUAAUGUUCCUAUGAAUAUAUCUUAGUUGUUCAUAAAUAGGAACGUUUUCAUUAAUGAAUGCAAACAGUAUUUUUUUUUUAGUAAGAGAAUCUAAAUG